rnacentral:lncRNA from 1 species
ACUGCUAUAAAGAUUGCUAUAAGGUAAUAUGUCUAUGUGUAUUAGUCAGGGUAAUCUCAGUGGCUUAACACAAGACAAGGUGUUCACUUGGCAUCCUCCUACAUGGUUAUUCAGAAUUCUGGUUCCUUUAUCUCAUUGCACCGCUGUUCACUGGCUGCUCUGCAUUUAACCAGCAAAAAUGUUGAGAGUGAGGAAAAUCCUGCAGUACGUCUUGUGGGCAGGCUUGGAAACGGAAUUCAACACUUCCAUAAACAUUUCACUGGCCAGAACCUGAUCCCCCCGGUUCCAAUCUACAUGCAAGGGAAGCUGCUAACACAGUCCUGUUUGCCUGCAAGAGGAAAGGAGAUUGAAAAGAAAUUCAUGCUAAUGGUAUCCAAUGAAACAAGCUAAGAUGCAUGAAGAAAGAGUUUACGAUUUCCCUUUCUCCUUCCAGCCCCCACCCAGGCUGUGGUAGAGAUGACAACUUCUCAUCACUAUCUGUUUUUCUCGUCUUCCUGGUGCACAACUAGAAGACAUUUCUCAUUCCUCUUGCAUUUGGUGAGGCCACACUGUUAGUGACUACUCACCAAGGAAGUUUAGGAAAAGUGAGACUUCUCCAUCUUUUUGCCAAUUGCUGGAUGAAUGAAGACUUUCCGAAGGAAGGAAAGACCGCAAGAUAGGAGGAACACAGCAUAUCCCUGACUGACCUGACCGCUGGAAAGGAGCCUCUGGCCCCCACAGCCUGUUACAAGAGUAUGAACUAAUCGUGUUCAGCCACUAAAAUUUGGGGCUGCUACUUAAAGUCCAGGAGACACCAGAAAAGGAACUAAUCAUG